CGGCCGCGUCGACGUUCCAUUAGCUUGUUGGCGGGGGUAACGGCCCACCAAGGCGACGAUGGAUAGGGGUUCUGAGAGGAAGGUCCCCCACAUUGGAACUGAGACACGGUCCAAACUCCUACGGGAGGCAGCAGUGAGGAAUAUUGGUCAAUGGACGAGAGUCUGAACCAGCCAAGUAGCGUGAAGGAUGACUGCCCUAUGGGUUGUAAACUUCUUUUAUACGGGAAUAACCUGUUCCACGUGUGGAACUCUGCAUGUACCGUAUGAAUAAGCAUCGGCUAACUCCGUGCCAGCAGCCGCGGUAAUACGGAGGAUGCGAGCGUUAUCCGGAUUUAGUUGGGUUUAAAGGGAGCGUAGGUGGGAAGCUAAGUCAGUUGUGAAAGUUUGCGGCUCAACCGUAAAUUGCAGUUUGAAACUGGUUUUCUUGAGUACAGCAGAGGUUACGCGGUAAUUCGUGGUGUAGCGGUGUAAAUGCUUAGAUAUCACGAAGACUCGAUUGACGAGGCAGCGUACUGGACUGGGACUGACACUGAUGCUACGAAGUGUUAGG
rnacentral:rRNA from 1 species